CCUACGGGAGGCAGCAGUGGGGAAUUUUGGACAAUGGGCGCAAGCCUGAUCCAGCAAUGCCGCGUGCAGGAUGAAGGCCUUCGGGUUGUAAACUGCUUUUGUACGGAACGAAACGGCGAGCUCUAAUAAAGUUCGCUAAUGACGGUACCGUAAGAAUAAGCACCGGCUAACUACGUGCCAGCAGCCGCGGUAAUACGUAGGGUGCAAGCGUUAAUCGGAAUUACUGGGCGUAAAGCGUGCGCAGGCGGUGAUGUAAGACAGAUGUGAAAUCCCCGGGCUCAACCUGGGACCUGCAUUUGUGACUGCAUCGCUAGAGUACGGUAGAGGGGGGAUGGAAUUCCGCGUGUAGCAGUGAAAUGCGUAGAUAUGCGGAGGAACACCGAUGGCGAAGGCAAUCCCCCGGACCUGUACUGACGCUCAUGCACGAAAGCGUGGGGAGCAAACAGGAUUAGAUACCCUGGUAGUCCACGCCCUAAACGAUGUCAACUGGUUGUUGGGUCUUUCACUGACUCAGUAACGAAGCUAAACGCGUGAAGUUGACCGCCUGGGGAGUACGGCCGCAAGGUUGAAACUCAAAUUGAAUUGACGG
rnacentral:rRNA from 1 species